AUUGAACGCUGGCGGCAUGCCUUACACAUGCAAGUCGAACGGCAGCACGGGAGCAAUCCUGGUGGCGAGUGGCGAACGGGUGAGUAAUAUAUCGGAACGUGCCCAGUCGUGGGGAUAGCGUAGCGAAAGCUACGCUAAUACCGCAUACGAUCUAUGGAUGAAAGCGGGGGGAUCGCAAGACCUCGCGCGAUUGGAGCGGCCGAUAUCAGAUUAGGUAGUUGGUGAGGUAAAGGCUCACCAAGCCGACGAUCUGUAGCUGGUCUGAGAGGACGACCAGCCACACUGGGACUGAGACACGGCCCAGACUCCUACGGGAGGCAGCAGUGGGGGAAUUUUUGGGACAAUGGGCGCAAGCCUGAUCCAGCAAUGCCGCGUGCAGGA
rnacentral:rRNA from 1 species